ensembl:lncRNA
AUCAGUGUGGUAUUUAAGACGGGAAGCAACGGCUGUUCUUCGCUGGAUCGUUGUGAGAAUUGCAUUCCCUGGACUGUUUUCCUGGUGUGCGAGUGGAUUCGUGUCUGGAUUGUGUGGAGAGAGACGAGCGUGUUCCCCUGGAUCUUCCCCGGAGCCCUGCCCCCCUCACCUUUUGUACAUAGCACUGCCCCGUAUCUGUCUUUAUACACUCAUUGGACAUUGUUCUGUAAUAAAUUCUCUUGUGUACAUCAUCCCCGGAGUCCUGCGCAUGAGUCCACCUUGUACGUCGUGACAGUGGCACUGGAUGCACCAUUUGAUUAUACCGUAGAGCCAGCAGUUGUUGAAGAUCUGCCUCCUGCUGUGCAGCAGGUUGUUCAAAAUAAGGCACUUUUCUGUGGACACGUAACAAUGCCAAAAUAUCUGUCCUUAAAUAAAGAGGACCAGCAGAGGGUUAAGAGACAUGUCGGAGGAAGGAGACACUGGAACAAGGGACUUCUUCCUCUUUGUUUUUCAGUUUGCAGAGGACAUGGAGCUCUUUUUAAAAGCAUGUGCUGACUACGGGUCAAUGCGAUGUUUGACAUG